AGCCCUGACCACCCCUGUGUCCCCUCUGCAGGUACCUGUGCUGCGACACCCAGAUGGAGAUGCGGGAGUGGUUUGCCAGCUUCUUCUUCGUGAAGAACGGCGGGAGCGUGUGGCCGUCAGAGCCCUCCAGGGCACGAGCGUCGCGGGUGCCGCUGGACUCCAGGUUGGGUAACAUCUCACUCAUCCCGCUGCGGGGCAAUGAGAACGAGAUGAGGAACAGUGUGGCUGCUUUCGCUACUGAUACCCUAACCCUCCUUCGGGACGCGUGAGCUGGACGCCUGACACUCCAGGUUCAUUUCCAGUGAGGGAGCCGGCAGAGAGCUCGGGCACUCGCAGAGCCCAGCACAGGGUCCACGCCGGCACUGGGGGUCUCUCAGGAUGUGCCCACCGGCUCCAUCACCUUCUUCCCACCCCUUCCCAAGGUGCCGCCAGCCGCCGCGAUGAGCAGAGCCCUUUGGAGGAAAAACACCGGGGAACAGACCCCAGAGCCGUCAGCGCCUCCCAGACCCCAGACCCAGGGUCCCCCAGCGCCAGCUGCUGCUUGCUUCCUCCUGUCCCCUAGACCAACACUGGAUGGGCAUGGGCUGGCACGGCACCUCUGGGCACCUCUGGGUCUGCAGGAGGUCUCUGCUGCCUCGAUCCUAAAUUCCCCCCUCAGUUUCAAUGGAGAGGCCCUGGGGAUGCUACGGACAGCCUGGGGGAGCCCUGCCCAUGGGCCUUGCCAGUGUGCUGGGGGUCAGUGGAAGCAUUUUCGGGGCCGAGCUGUUGGUCACUACUUCAGAGGAGAAGCCACCAAAGGAUGAGGCCGAGGCCGAGGCCGAGGCCGAGGCCGAGGCCUCUCAUGGACACAGUGGCCUCUUUGGUGCUUGGUGCCCACUUCUCUCCAUUUCUUGCUCUCUUUGGGCAAGCAUCGCAGGUGGGGCACCGAGGCCAUCAGCUCACACCCAGCUGGGGGGGAGCUGCAGUAGCAGCACCUCUCUGAAGAGACUGUGGAGGGGAUGCUGGCCUGAGCUGGGCACGGGGGGCUCAGCCCUGGGUUUCCAGUGUGUCUGGCCUCCCCCCCCGACCCUCCCUGGUGCUGGGGGAACUGCAAACUGUGGGUGGAGUGGCUGAAAGCGGGGGACGGGGCAGGCCCCUGCCCAGCGGUGCCUCUCGUGGGUCAUAUUAAACAUGUUGUGAAGCUG